GAUGAACGCUGGCGGCGUGCCUAAUACAUGCAAGUCGAGCGAACGGACGAGAAGCUUGCUUCUCUGAUGUUAGCGGCGGACGGGUGAGUAACACGUGGAUAACCUACCUAUAAGACUGGGAUAACUUCGGGAAACCGGAGCUAAUACCGGAUAAUAUUUUGAACCUCAUGGUUCAAAAGUGAAAGACGGUCUUGCUGUCACUUAUAGAUGGAUCCGCGCUGCAUUAGCUAGUUGGUAAGGUAACGGCUUACCAAGGCAACGAUGCAUAGCCGACCUGAGAGGGUGAUCGGCCACACUGGAACUGAGACCCGGUCCAGACUCCUACGGGAGGCAGCAGUAGGGAAUCUUCCGCAAUGGGCGAAAGCCUGACGGAGCAACGCCGCGUGAGUAAUGAAGGUCUUCGGAUCGUAAAACUCUGUUAUUAGGGAAGAACAUAUGUGUAAGUAACUGUGCACAUCUUGACGGUACCUAAUCAGAAAGCCACGGCUAACUACGUG
rnacentral:rRNA from 1 species